AUUGAACGCUGGCGGCAGGCCUAACACAUGCAAGUCGAACGAGUGGCGGACGGGUGAGUAAUGUCUGGGAAACUGCCUGAUGGAGGGGGAUAACUACUGGAAACGGUAGCUAAUACCGCAUACCAUCAGAUGUGCCCAGAUGGGAGUAGCUAGUGGGUGGGGUAACGGCUCACCAAGGCGACGAUCCCUAGCUGGUCUGCGAGGAUGACUAGCCACACUGGAACUGAGACACGGUCCAGACGCCUACGGGAGGCAGCAGUGGGGAAUAUUGGACAAUGGGCGGAAGACUGAUACCGCCAUGCCGAGUGUAUGAAGAAGGCCUUCGGUUUGUAAAGUACUUGCAGCGGGGAGGCGUUACCCGCAGAAGAAGCACCGGCUAACUCCGUGCCAGCAGCCGCGGUAAUAC
rnacentral:rRNA from 1 species